UACGGGGGGGGCAAGCGUUGUUCGGAAUUACUGGGCGUAAAGGGCUCGUAGGCGGCCAACUAAGUCAGACGUGAAAUCCCUCGGCUUAACCGGGGAACUGCAUCUGAUACUGGAUGGCUUGAGAUUGGGAGAGGGAUGCGGAAUUCCAGGUGUAGCGGUGAAAUGCGUAGAUAUCUGGAGGAAUACCGGUGGCGAAGGCAAUCCCCUGGGCCUGCACUGACGCUCAUGCACGAAAGCGUGGGGAGCAAACAGG
rnacentral:rRNA from 1 species